UAUUCCAACCCCGCGGGCCCGGCUUGUUUUUCAAUAGCUUCUAGCAAGGCAAAGCGCCCCGUAGUCAUCAGGGCAUCCAAUGCAGCUGCCCUCCCGUUCAGGCGGUGAGCAGCAUUCUACUUCUUAUUCUUAAUUACGUCAUUUGUCCAGCCGUGCAGCCCGCAUUCUACACAAGUCUUAUUGGCAUCCUUCUCUACAGCAAACACCAGAGCGUUAUUCUUAGAAAGCUAGCGUGAUCAGACAAUGCCAACCCUCAUGUGGCUAUGUAGC
rnacentral:sRNA from 1 species